UACAGAGGUCCCGAGCGUUGUUCGGAUUCAUUGGGCGUAAAGGGUGCGUAGGCGGUCUUCUAAGUUUGAUGUGAAAUCCCGGGGCUCAACCCUGGAAUUGCAUUGAAUACUGGAGGACUAGAGUACCGGAGAGGAAACUGGAAUUUACGGUGUAGCAGUGAAAUGCGUAGAGAUCGUAAGGAAGACCGGUGGCGAAGGCGAGUUUCUGGACGGUAACUGACGCUGAGGCACGAAGGCCAGGGGAGCAAACGGG
rnacentral:rRNA from 1 species